rnacentral:rRNA from 1 species
UACGGAGGGGGCUAGCGUUGUUCGGAAUUACUGGGCGUAAAGCGCACGUAGGCGGAUAUUUAAGUCAGGGGUGAAAUCCCGGGGCUCAACCCCGGAACUGCCUUUAAGACUGCAUCGCUGGAAUCCGGGAGAGGUGAGUGGAAUUCCGAGUGUAGAGGUGAAAUUCGUAGAUAUUCGGAAGAACACCAGUGGCGAAGGCGGCUCACUGGACCGGUAUUGACGCUGAUGUGCGAAAGCGUGGGGAGCAAACAGG